GGUGAGAUGGCUGAGUUUAGGCUAUAAAUUGUAAAUUUAUGAACGGAAUAAUUUCCUCUCACCA
rnacentral:tRNA from 1 species